rnacentral:hammerhead_ribozyme from 1 species
AUACAUCGGACGAGUCCCAAAUAGAACGAAACGCGCAUCCUGAAU